rnacentral:snRNA from 1 species
AUUGCUUCUCGGCCUUUUGGCUAAGAUCAAGUGUAG